rnacentral:tRNA from 1 species
CGGGGUGUAGCGCAGUCCGGGUAGCGCGCGCGCUUUGGGUGCGCGAGGUCAUCGGUUCGAAUCCGAUCACCCCGA